AAUAUACCGGCCCAACUGCAACAACUUGGGUAAUCCACAAGCCCACCACAGGCCCCCAAAAGAUCAUGAUUUGUUGGUGCAAUUGGUAGUAGUACUUAUGCUUAUAAACUGAACUAAAGUCUCCACACGACUCGAUGUGGGACUGGGGUGUUACAAACUCCCCCACUUAAAUUCCUGACGUCCUCGUCAGGCCGAAACGGAUAGCCCAUAGGCCCAGAUCGAACCUCCCUAGCCAUUGUGGGAUAAUACCGGCUGGCUUCGUGUCCCCGCCUCCGGAUCUCUGUCCAUUGCGGGAUAAUACCACCAGCCUUCGUGUCCCCACCUCCGGCAACUUGACGAAUCAAGCUUUCGAGAGCCUGGCUCUGAUACCAUAUGAAACAACCCGGGUCAAAUCCCGAGUCUUUUCCGAAAAUCGGGUCAAGUCCCGAUUUCCGAAUCCGAAAAUAAGCCGAAAUAAACUGGCCCAAUUGCAACAACUUAGGUAAUCCUGGGCCUAUGGGCUAUCCGUUUCGGCCUGACGAGGACGUCAGGAAUUUAAGUGGGAGAGUUUGUAACACCCCAGUCCCACAUCGAGAAGUGUGGAGACUUUAGUUCAGUUUAUAAGCAUAAGUACUACUACCAAUUGCACCAACAAAUCAUGAUCUUUUGGGGGCCUGUGGUGGGCUUGUGGAUUACCCAAGUUGUUGCAGUUGGGCCAGUAUAUUUGGGCUAAUUUUCGGAGAAAUCCGAAUCCGAAAAUAAGCCUAAAUAUACUGACCCAACUGCUAACAACUUGGGUAAUCCACAAGCCCACCACAGGCCCCCUAAAAGAUCAUGAUUUGUUGGUGCAAUUAGUAGUAGUACUUAUGCUUAUAAACUGAACUAAAGUCCCCACACUUCUUGAUGUGGGACAAGGGUGUUACAAACUCUCCCACUUAAAUUCCUGACGUCCUCGUCAGGCCGAAACGGAUAGCCCAUAGGCCCAGAUCGAACCUCCCUAGCCAUUGUGGGAUAAUACCGGCUGGCUUCGUGUCCCCGCCUCCGGAUCUCUGUCCAUUGCGGGAUAAUACCACCAGCCUUCGUGUCCCCACCUCCGGCAACUUGACGAAUCAAGCUUUCGAGAACCUCGCUCUGAUACCAUAUGUGACAACCCGGGUCAAAUCCAGAGCCUUUUUCGAAAAUCGGGUCAAGUCCCGAAAUCCGAAUCCGAAAAUAAGCCUAAAUAUACUGGCCCAACUGCAACAACUUGGGUAAUCCACAAGCCCACCACAGGCCCCCAAAAGAUCAUGAUUUGUUGGUGCAAUUGGUAGUAGUACUUAUGCUUAUAAACUGAACUAAAG
rnacentral:lncRNA from 1 species